rnacentral:rRNA from 1 species
UACGUAGGGUGCAAGCGUUAAUCGGAAUUACUGGGCGUAAAGCGUGCGCAGGCGGUUAUGUAAGACAGUUGUGAAAUCCCCGGGCUCAACCUGGGAACUGCAUCUGUGACUGCAUAGCUAGAGUACGGUAGAGGGGGGGAUAGAAUUCCGCGUGUAGCAGUGAAAUGCGUAGAUAUGCGGAGGAACACCGAUGGCGAAGGCAAUCCCCUGGACCUGUACUGACGCUCAUGCACGAA